rnacentral:rRNA from 1 species
ACGCUGGCGGCGUGCCUAAUCAUGCAAGUCGAGCGAACAGAUAAGGAGCUUGCUCCUUUGACGUUAGCGGCGGACGGGUGAGUAACACGUGGGUAACCUACCUAUAAGACUGGAAUAACUCCGGGAAACCGGGGCUAAUGCCGGAUAACAUAUAGAACCGCAUGGUUCUAUAGUGAAAGAUGGUUUUGCUAUCACUUAUAGAUGGACCCGCGCCGUAUUAGCUAGUUGGUAAGGUAAUGGCUUACCAAGGCGACGAUACGUAGCCGACCUGAGAGGGUGAUCGGCCACACUGGAACUGAGACACGGUCCAGACUCCUACGGGAGGCAGCAGUAGGGAAUCUUCCGCAAUGGGCGAAAGCCUGACGGAGCAACGCCGCGUGAGUGAUGAAGGGUUUCGGCUCGUAAAACUCUGUUAUUAGGGAAGAACAUAUGUGUAAGUAACUGUGCACAUCUUGACGGUACCUAAUCAGAAAGCCACGGCUAACUACGUGCCAGCAGCCGCGGUAAUACGUAGGUGGCAAGCGUUAUCCGGAAUUAUUGGGCGUAAAGCGCGCGUAGGCGGUUUCUUAAGUCUGAUGUGAAAGCCCACGGCUCAACCGUGGAGGGUCAUUGGAAACUGGGGAAACUUGAGUGCAAAAGAGAAAAGUGGAAUUCCAUGUGUAGCGGUGAAAUGCCCAAAAAUAUGGAGGAACACCAGUGGCGAAGGCGACUUUCUGGUCUGUAACUGACCCUGAUGUGCAAAACGUGGGGAUCAAACAGGAUAAAUACCCUGGUAGUCCACCCCUAAC